GGGUUGUGAGGUUAAGCGACUAAGCGUACACGGUGGAUGCCCUGGCAGUCAGAGGCGAUGAAGGACGUGCUAAUCUGCGAUAAGCGUCGGUAAGGUGAUAUGAACCGUUAUAACCGGCGAUUUCCGAAUGGGGAAACCCAGUGUGAUUCGUCACACUAUCGUUAACUGAAUACAUAGGUUAACGAAGCGAACCGGGGGAAGUGAAACAUCUAAGUACCCCG
rnacentral:rRNA from 1 species